AAUAUUAAAGGAUUGAUAAUUUGAUCAGUUACUCAGUACUGAGUUACUUUUCACCAAAUACUUUUUUACUCUGACUGGAGUAAUUUCUUGAACAGAGGUAAAGGAUCUUGUUUUGAGUAAAUACUUCUUGAAUGUAGAUAAAAAGUACUAGAUCAAGUAGUUUUUAUUUCCACUUAUAAUGGGACAUCUUCCCAUGCUAAGUGAAAUAAUCUUCCAGAGGAACUAGAUAUUUGCACUAGAAUCUAGACCAAAACUACUUUUUAAUAUUUUGUGUUUUUGCAGUCUGCUCAUUUAUUCACUUUAUAUGAUUUUCUUUCCCUCCUGUUUUUAUAAUCUAUUUAAUGAUUUUCAAAGUAGUCUGCUGCAAAUCUCUGAGAAGUUUUGUCCAGUUUGGUUGAGGCCUUUGCCGAGUGAAACAAAGAGGAUUUAAAUUUGUGACAGUUGUCUUGUUGAAGUGGGACUCAUCAUUAAAAAGGGAGGAAACAGCCUGGAAGAGCUUUGUCUUUAUGAUCUGGUGAAACGGGGGUUUUACCAGAACCUCUGGGACUUUGAACAACCAACACAGCAGCCACUCCAGGAACCUCUGGCACCACAUGAAAGGAUCAGAAAAAAUUCCCUCCUGUUUAUUGAUGAACUCCUCCAGCCGGCAGCGCGGCCCUGGCUGGAAUGACAACCAUGUGAGGCACAAAAAGUGACGCACGCAGACCCUGCAGGAGCCCGCGUAAUGAGGCUAAAGACGCUGACGGCAAGCAGCUGUCAAACCUCAUAUCAAGUCUCUCCAUUUUUCCAGCUUCGGGCUGGCUUCCUCUGAACCCGAGAAGCCGGGCAGCAGACGCCCUCCAAGCAUCGCCUGUCCCAUGAAUGUGUUAGCGAUCCGCGCACCAGAGGGGUGGUGAGCUCCCAGAAGUGACACCGUGUGUUGUAGGGUCUCCUCUGACGCAAGGAAACCUUUUAGUUGUAGUGUCUGGUGUCACUCGGAUGCAUAGCAACGCAAAUGCUGCCUAUAAAUAUACUUCCCUGUCCGGGCUAUUUUAAAACCAAUAGGGUCAAACCGAAGAGUUCAGCUUCCUUUCAGUGUUGGAGACAAAAUAAAGUAAAAAACUGUAAACGAAUAAACUUCUGCAAAGGGAAAGCAAUGAGUCAGCAAAGAGUGUUAUGUAAAAAACAAAGGGUACACUGCAACAACACAAAAUCAUACCAAGAAUUGUUAUUCCAGUUUCUAGUGCAAAUAUCAGACAAAACUGACUUACAAGUAACUUUUCAGAAAGAUUUUGGAGCUUUUUUAAGUCAAUAAUUCCCUGAUAUUGACGAAAAAGUAUUUGUACAAUUGGCAGAUUAUUUCACUUAUACCAAGGGAAAAAUGUAAAGUUUUGUUGAUCUGGGGAAUGUGGUUGUGGACUUUAUGGAAAGGGCUUGAAUUAAACACAGUUUCUGUCACAGAAGAAGAAGUGAAAAUGGUCUCAAAACAACUUUAUUUUAGAUUACCGCAAUAAUUUCUUGGAUAUUUUAUGGUCAACCAAAAUUUGUUAUUGUGACCGGAAAGCUUGCCAAAACUUUUUCUGCACCAUGUUGGCGAAUCAGUGGCUUUAUUGAAACUCAUCUUGUUAUACAUGCAAUGACUUCAAGAGUUUACGUAGUAGACCAUGAAGAUAAGUUCAAACUUUGCUACAUAAAGUUUAUUAUCAAAAACGAUGUGAAGGAUUAAAGUUCUUCAGGA